rnacentral:lncRNA from 1 species
GUGUUCACAUUCUUUCUCUCUCUCACAAAAAUAAAUAAAUAAAAUCUUAAAUAAAAAUUUAAAAAACAGGUUAAUCAUAUACACAAAAUGUAAUAUCCAGGUGCUUCUUAAAAAAUACCAUGUCAUUUUUCAGACUUCAAAACUCCCCCAAGUACCUGUUCCCAUGUUAUUAAAGCAUAAUAACUUGAUAAACAUGGCCAGUUAUACAAAUGCUCUGAGGCCUGAGAUAACAUGCAAAUAAACCUUACAUAUCAAUGUGUGAAGGCUGGACAGACCACACAGUUCAAAAAAGGAAGUGCACUCUGCAAAGCUAACUUGCACAUUCGCUGUCCGCCUUCCAACAUCUUGCGGGUCACCGUGUGCCAGGCACCUCAACUCCUUUCAAUAAAAUGAUCACAAGAAGGCAGAGAGGCAGACAGAGAGAGGAAGGGAAGCAGGCUCCCCGCCGAGCAGAGAGUCCAACGUGGGACGCAGGACUUGAUCCCAAGACCCUGAGAUCAUGACCUGAGCCUAAGGCAGAGGCUUUAACCCACUGAGCCACCCAGGCACCCCUUGUUCACACAUUUUUAAAGUUCACUUUAAUAACAACACUUUUGAUACUUAGGGUCAAAAAUGCCACAUUUCUCUACAAGUUAUAAUGAGGAAUCCAUGGCCAUUCUGCCAAACCUACUUGUUUGACAUGUAUGAAAUUUGUUAAAUCUGCCUUUUUUUUUUUUAAGAACACACUGCUUUUUUGUGGCUUAUGUAAACCCUCAGCUGUGACAGCUAACUUGUUUUUUAUUUUGCCUUAGCAACGUGUAAUGUUAUCUAUUCAAAGGACAAUAAAAAAUUCUACAGUGUGAGUUUUCUACAGAUAGGAACCCAGCUUGUUGAAUUGUGCUUGUGGCAUAAACAACAAUCAACAGCCUUUGAAAGGAGGAGCCAAAAAAUAUUGAUGUCACUUCUGAGAAAGUAUGAGAAAUCUAGCCCAAUCAGGUGGACUUCAGUCAGCCAAGAAUCUAAAACUACACAUAUUUACAAUGUUCGGAGUACCAAAGCAAAGCUUCCAUACACUUCCUUUUUGAAGUUCC